rnacentral:lncRNA from 1 species
UGGCUGACAAGGAGCUGAUCUUGGGUCCUGAAGAAAGGAAUGGAUGGAUCUUGGCCCAGGACAGCUGCUGUGAAAGGUCCCUUUAGACGAGAGAAGCCACACCCAUUCACUUACUGGACCCAGGCUGGUGGUGGAGUCAUAAAAGUGGCCCUGGACCCAGAAGAGGAGGCCAUGCCCAGACGCACUACCAUCAGCCAGGGGCGUUGAGAUUCCGUCCCAGGACAAUGAUCAUCAGCCUGACUUCCGAUUCUGAUUCAGGGAGUUAAUGGCAAAGCUGAGACUGGAGGCUGGGCCACUGGACCUUUCUACAAGAUCCUUCCAGUCUCUCCUUGAUCUUGACUUUGUUAACAUUUUAACUCUUUCAUAACUGUUUGCAGAGGAUCAGAAAGACAGAGCCCACACUGUGUGCCUGGGCUUGUGCCCCUUGCAGAUACGGGUGGUCCUGCAGGCAACAUGAUCUUCUCAGGGCACUUUGAGUGGACUUCGGGUCAGAGGGAACAACGCUGGCUAACGGGGCUGUUACUCUGUACUGGGCCCUGGGCCAGAUGCUUCAUGUGCAUUAACUCACUGGAUCCUCACAACAGUAUCCCCACUGUGCAGAUGAAAACGCCGAGGCACAGAGAGGUUAUGUAAUUUGCCCAUGGUCACACAGCUAGUGAGUGGUGAAGCCAGGAUCAAACCCAGGCAGUCUGGCGCCUCAGCCUGAGCUCUUCCCAUCACUCCAGAGAGCCUGUGCCAGGUCUUGGGAAACAGGCAGGGAAUAGUCUGUUGAUGUUUCCUGGGUGCCCUGCUGCCACUGCCCUGGCUCAGCCCACAUCUCUCGCACCUGACCGCAUUCCAGCCUCUCCACUGAGUACCAUGGCUGUAGCGUAGCCCACCCAACCAUCCGCUACUCCCGCCUGCAGGACCAUGCCAACACAGAGAGCCUCCUGACACGACACUCCCGUUGUUCCUCCCCAGCCCUCUUUAAUGGCUCCCAAUUGUCUGAUUUCUGGGUGUUCCCAACCCAUCUAGUCUGAUCUCCCACCACACCUUUCAUGGAUCCUGACAGCCAAACAAGGAUUUACCAACUUGUUCAUACAACACUUUUCCCACCUUCCAGCCUUUAUCCAAGCUGUUCUUCCUGCCUGGAAUGCCUGUUCUCACCCGCCCAUGGCUCUUUCAUGACUGCUUCCCAGGCCCUGUGCUUGGCAGGUGCUCACCAACGGGAUACUAUG